CAGAAUGAGAGAGGAAGAAUGGAAAGAGGCAAGAGAACAGAGCUGAGAAUUGGAACUGGAAGCUUCUCCUGUGCUCAGGCAAGCUUGGCAGAACACAUCGUGGCAAAUGGAACUGGACGCAGCAGAACCCAGGCUUAAGCCUGGCUCAGAUCUUAGACCCAGCACAGCCUCCUUAGAUCUGCAGGAUCUUUGUUUGUUUUCUUCUGUUGUAGAUCAUAAAAACACUGUUAGAACCACACAUGCUUUGCAAACUUUGAUCCAGUAACACAGCACUGAAGCUGUUAUUGG
rnacentral:lncRNA from 1 species